rnacentral:rRNA from 1 species
GAUGAACGCUGGCGGCGUGCCUAAUACAUGCAAGUCGAGCGAACGGACGAGAAGCUUGCUUCUCUGAUGUUAGCGGCGGACGGGUGAGUAACACGUGGAUAACCUACCUAUAAGACUGGGAUAACUUCGGGAAACCGUAGCUAAUACCGGAUAAUAUUUUGAACCGCAUGGUUCAAAAGUGAAAGACGGUCUUGCUGUCACUUAUAGAUGGAUCCGCGCUGCAUUAGCUAGUUGGUAAGGUAACGGCUUACCAAGGCAACGAUGCAUAGCCGACCUGAGAGGAUGAUCAGCCACACUGAAACUGAGCCACGGUCCAGACUCCUGCGGGAGGGAGCAGGGGGGAAUAUGGGACAAGGGGCGCAAGUCUGAGACAGCAAGACCGGGGGGGUGAAGAAGGCAUUCGGGUUGUAAAGCUCUUUUGUUGGGAAAGAAAAGCAGAAGGUUAAUACCCCCCUUUUCUGACGGUACCCAAAGAAAAAGCAACGGCUAACCUCGCG